rnacentral:tRNA from 1 species
GCCCCGGUAGCUCAGGUGGAUAGAGCAAGAGCCUUCUAAGCUCUAGGUCGGGGGUUCGAGUCCCUCCCGGGGUACCA